rnacentral:rRNA from 1 species
AAAGUGGCGCACGGGUGAGUAACGCGUGGGUAACGUACCCUUUGGUGGGGGAUAACCUGGGGAAACUCGGGCUAAUACCGCAUAAGCUCUUUAGAGGUUCGCCGAAGAAGAGGAAAAAGGUGCAAAUUUUGCCGAAGGAUCGGCCCGCGUCCCAUCAGCUUGUUGGAGAGGUAACGGCUCACCAAGGCUACGACGGGUAGCUGGUCUGAGAGGAUGAUCAACCACACUGGAACUGAGACACGGUCCAG